ensembl:lncRNA novel transcript
CUUCAUGACCACUGAGUCAGCAGCAACUCUUUUCUUGCCAAGAAUAGCACAUUGUUCUUUUCCUUUUCAGGUAAUCCCUCCCCGGAAAGAGAAGAUCACAGAUUUUGUCAUAUUAAAUACAUUGUAGAAAUUCAUGGUAGCAGGGGCAAGAUCAUUUAAACAAAACAGAAAGUUUCAGAGAGAGAAAAAGCCAAGGACAAAGAUUAAUCAUUUUUCUGCUUAAAAAAAAUGGCUUUGAUUUGCAACCAUGGAAUGCUCCACUGUUUCUCUUCUCUUCAAAGACAUCUACUGAAAGGAUUCCUUAACCUUACCAAGUGGCCAAAAUACUUUUCUGAGAAGAGUCACAGAGCAUAGGCCCCCCUAGGGUACACAGAGAUUUCAUUAGUCCCUAGAUGUUUCCUGAUCCUUUUAAAAACUGGUUAAAUUCAGAGACUCUAGGCAAUUACUUCUUUCAGAACCUGUGAGGCAAAAACGAAAGAAGAAGGCAGGACACGCAGUGUAACAAACCUUGGAAUGGACUUCGCCAGACUUCAUCAGAAGAAAGCAGUGCAAGAGGGGACUGCAGAGGAAAGCUGGGGCUUGGGAAACCAGCAGCAGGGGCCACGUGGGCAGGUGGUUUCUGUGUGAACCUCUGAUCUGUGCAACAUAAACAGGAAAUGUUGAAGGCUUCCAGUGCUCUUUUUUGAUGUCGAGAACAUUCUACGGCACAAAAGAGUUUGCCUCUCACUGUUUCUCAUAUAUGGAGGUUUUCUAAUCAGCAUCCUGAACAGAAUUGAAUUAAAAAUAAAAACCAAAGUAAAACUAGCUUUA